rnacentral:rRNA from 1 species
UACGGAGGGUGCGAGCGUUGUCCGGAAUUACUGGGCGUAAAGCGUGCGUAGACGGCUAUCUAAGUCGGGUGUGAAAGCCCCGGGCUCAACCUGGGAAUUGCAUUUGAGACUGCGUAGCUAGGGUGCGGAAGAGGGAAGCGGAAUUUCCGGUGUAGCGGUGAAAUGCGUAGAUAUCGGAAGGAACACCAGUGGCGAAAGCGGCUUCCUGGUCCAGCACCGACGUUCAGGCACGAAAGCGUGGGGAGCAAACAGG